rnacentral:rRNA from 1 species
AUUGAACGCUGGCGGCAGGCUUAACACAUGCAAGUCGAGCGGAGAGAGGUAGCUUGCUACUGAUCUUAGCGGCGGACGGGUGAGUAAUGCUUAGGAAUCUGCCUAUUAGUGGGGGACAACAUUUCGAAAGGAAUGCUAAUACCGCAUACGUCCUACGGGAGAAAGCAGGGGAUCUUCGGACCUUGCGCUAAUAGAUGAGCCUAAGUCGGAUUAGCUAGGUGGUGGGGUAAAGGCCUACCAAGGCGACGAUCUGUAGCGGGUCUGAGAGGAUGAUCCGCCACACUGGGACUGAGACACGGCCCAGACUCCUACGGGAGGCAGCAGUGGGGAAUAUUGGACAAUGGGCGGAAGCCUGAUCCAGCCAUGCCGCGUGUGUGAAGAAGGCCUUUUGGUUGUAAAGCACUUUAAGCGAGGAGGAGGCUCUUAAGGUUAAUACCCUUGAUGAGUGGACGUUACUCGCAGAAUAAGCACCGGCUAACUCUGUGCCAGCAGCCGCGGUAACAC